rnacentral:rRNA from 1 species
AGUGAACGCUGGCGGUAGGCCUAACCCAUGCAAGUCGAACGGCAGCACAGUAAGAGCUUGCUCUUACGGGUGGCGAGUGGCGGACGGGUGAGGAAUACAUCGGAAUCUACUUUUUCGUGGGGGAUAACGUAGGGAAACUUACGCUAAUACCGCAUACGACCUACGGGUGAAAGCAGGGGAUCUUCGGACCUUGCGCGAUUGAAUGAGCCGAUGUCGGAUUAGCUAGUUGGCGGGGUAAAGGCCCACCAAGGCGACGAUCCGUAGCUGGUCUGAGAGGAUGAUCAGCCACACUGGAGCUGAGACACGGUCCAGACUCCUACGGGAGGCAGCAGUGGGGAAUAUUGGACAAUGGGCGCAAGCCUGAUCCAGCCAUACCGCGUGGGUGAAGAAGGCCUUCGGGUUGUAAAGCCCUUUUGUUGGGAAAGAAAAGCAGCAGGUUAAUACCCCGCUGUUCUGACGGUACCCAAAGAAUAAGCACCGGCUAACUUCGUG